UACGUAGGGUCCGAGCGUUGUCCGGAUUUAUUGGGCGUAAAGAGCAUGUAGGUGGAUUGGUGUGUCGGAUUUUAAAGGUCCAGGCUCAACCUGGAUUUUGGGUUCGAAACUACCAAUCUUGAGGAUAACAGGGGUAAGCGGAAUUAGCAGAGUAGCAGUGAAAUGCGUUGAUCUUGCUAAGAACACCAAUGGCGAAGGCAGCUUGCUAGGUUAUCUCUGACACUGAGAUGCGAAAGCGUGGGGAG
rnacentral:rRNA from 1 species